rnacentral:rRNA from 1 species
CACUCCUGCGGGAGGCAGCAGUGGGGAAUAUUGGACAAUGGGCGCAAGCCUGAUCCAGCCAUGCCGCGUGAGUGAUGAAGGCCCUAGGGUUGUAAAGCUCUUUCACCGGAGAAGAUAAUGACGGUAUCCGGAGAAGAAGCCCCGGCUAACUUCGUGCCAGCAGCCGCGGUAAUACGAAGGGGGCUAGCGUUGUUCGGAAUUACUGGGCGUAAAGCGCACGUAGGCGGAUCGAUCAGUCAGGGGUGAAAUCCCAGGGCUCAACCCUGGAACUGCCUUUGAUACUGUCGAUCUGGAGUAUGGAAGAGGUGAGUGGAAUUCCGAGUGUAGAGGUGAAAUUCGUAGAUAUUCGGAGGAACACCAGUGGCGAAGGCGGCUCACUGGUCCAUUACUGACGCUGAGGUGCGAAAGCGUGGGGAGCAAACAGGAUUAGAAACCCCGGUAGUCCCAUGAU